ACGAACGCUGGCGGCGUGCUUAACACAUGCAAGUCGAACGGAAAGGCCCUGCUUUUGUGGGGUGCUCGAGUGGCGAACGGGUGAGUAACACGUGAGUAACCUGCCCUUGACUUUGGGAUAACUUCAGGAAACUGGGGCUAAUACCGGAUAGGAGCUCCUGCUGCAUGGUGGGGGUUGGAAAGUUUCGGCGGUUGGGGAUGGACUCGCGGCUUAUCAGCUUGUUGGUGGGGUAGUGGCUUACCAAGGCUUUGACGGGUAGCCGGCCUGAGAGGGUGGCCGGCCACAUUGGGACUGAGAUAGGGCCCAGACUCCGACGGGAGGCAGCAGUGGGGAAUAUUGCACAAUGGGCGGGAGCCUGAUGCAGCAACGCCGCGUGCGGGAUGACGGCCUUCGGGUUGUAAACCGCUUUCGCCUGUGACGAAGCGUGAGUGACGGUAAUGGGUAAAGAAGCACCGGCUAACUACGUG
rnacentral:rRNA from 1 species